rnacentral:rRNA from 1 species
UACGUAGGAGGCGAGCGUUGUCCGGAGUUACUGGGCGUAAAGCGCAUGCAGGCGGUCAACUCAGUCUGUGCUGACAGUUCCCGGCUUAACUGGGAAAGUGGUACGGAUACUGGUUGACUUGAGGGCUUCAGAGGGAUGUGGAACUCCGGGUGGAGUGGUGAAAUGCGUAGAUAUCGUAAGGAAGACCAGUGGCGAAGGCGGGUCUCUGGACAGUUCCUGACGCUGAGGCACGAAGGCCAGGGGAGCAAACGGG